rnacentral:lncRNA from 1 species
CUCUCAUAAAUCCGUUGCACAUCCAUCCUCUCUCCUCAAUAUAUUCCAGCGAAAGCCGCUAGAGGAAGACUCUCUCGAUCUCCCGUCGCUCCUCUCCUCUCUUCUCUUCUCCUUUAACUCUAUUUUUAUCGAUUUCGGCGAAGAGCGAAGAGAUUGGACAGCAGCUACAGAUGGUGAACCUCUCUCCUUCUCAUUGCUCUCCUCUUUGAUCUCUCCUCACCUUGCGAACAAUAGCAACAAUAGUUGCUUGGUCAAGGAGUGAUGGAUGUCAACGAGCAAUAACAACAAACUCCGAGCAGCGAAUUCCAACAACUGCAGCACCUCAACGAGUGACUCAACUUCGACAACCACUUGCAUCAUCCGAUAAGGACAUCGACCUUGAACAAUGACAACAACUCCAACGAUUAGAAAAAGUCCGACCAAGCUAGAUCCGGCAAAGUCCAAGUUUUUGGUUGGUAAACAGAUUUCGAUAGAUCCAUCCAAGUUAGUUUAAUUAAUGUAUGGCCCCUUUUAAACAAUUUGUUCUUGAUUUUUAAUUAUUGAAUUUUAUUUUGGGAAUUCGAGUAUCAUUUUAUCUCGUUUAUGCAUCAUUGUCUACAGCCUAUUUGAAAUGGUAGGACUACAAAUUUGUUCUUGAUGGAUUAGAACUUUCAGUUCAAAACUCAUGCCCUCUUGCUUAAGGGUUAUAUGGAGGAUUUCUCCAUUUAAUCUCGUGAUAUUAUUCACAGUUGAUUGUUUGGCAUGUUCAUACUGAGAUUUGUUUUCCCAGAUGGAAUUGCUAAUUUCUUAUUUAUUGUUAUAUUUGCUUCUCCUAAUUGAUCCUAAUUGUUGCUUCCCGUAAAAUCCAAGUUUGAUCUUUUGCUGAUAAUCUUUUCCAUUGUGUUUAAAUUGAUGUUGUAAUAUACUAAUUAGUCAAUUUGAAUUGAUAAUUGAUUCUUAUACAUGUGGUAAUCUUAAAUUUGGUCAUUUAUUGAGUUGUUUUGAAUAAGCUUAUCCAUUUUAAAUUGAGGUAAUGACUGCUAGAUUUAUUCUUUUACAUUCAUUAUUUUUCUUUUUGUUUAAGUAAAUGUGUUGCAGGAUUAUUUCAUUACGUGAUUUAGUGACCGUUUUUAAUUAACCUCUUGACAGUAUAUAACUUGAAAGAUUCUUACGCAAUCCUUCUUUGGUAAGUCUAUUCCCCUUAAGGUAAAAAUUGUGUAUUAGUUUUAAUCUUAUAUGGUUAAUAUUAUUGAUCCCUAGGAUAUUUCCUUUCCUUUUGUAACACCCCAGAAAAAAUUUUAAACUAAGACUUGAGUUGUUCAUCGUAAUGAGUGAGCUCUUACGAAGGAAUUUAAAAUUUCUUAUUAUUAAGGUUAGUUCACUAGAUUUAGGUUCUUGAGUUCCAAAAAGACUUACAUUGAGAAAUAGUAAAAUCUAAAAUUUGAAUAGCUAAGUUAAGUAUGAGUUUUGGGUCAACUUAAAACAACCACAAUUGAGAGGUAUUUACCUAAAAAUAAUGAGGGGUAUUUUGGUCCUUUCCUUAUCAAAUUAGAUUUAAUUUAUUUUUAGUAAUAUUUUAGAGAUAUAAUACUUUUGGUUCAAUUUUACAAUCCUAAUCUAUGCCAAGGAUUUUUAGUUGAGAGUUGAAGAAGAGACAAGAAGAGAAACGAAGAGAAAAGAGAAAAGGAUGAAGGCACACAUCGAACUUCUUGAUUUUUGCUGCGGAUUAUCACCAUGGGUUUAAUCCAUAAGAGAAACAGCUAUAAAGAUCAUCAACAUGAGCUUCGUUGACACAUCCUAGAGUUUGAGUUAGCUAUGUUGAUCCUCCUUGCUUCUGGAGUAUUCAUUUACUUUUUUUAGUUUAGUUAGGAUGUCGUGGGUCUUGACCCAACUUCCAUCUUUAUAUUUCAAAGGCUUCAUACACAGUCAGUUUAGUUAAGAAGUUUGUAUUAUUCUUUUAUUUUAUUAAAUUAUUAAAGAUUUAAAUUGCCUAUUAUAUGGCGAAUUGAAUACAUUAUUGUAUUCAAUGUUUUUCUUUUGAGUUAAAGUUUGUAAUUAAGUUCAAUGAAUUUUAUUCAGUGUUUUUAAGAUUUGUUCGCUUAAGUUAGUCUUUCGCUUGUAGUCAGCCAGGAUAAUGUUUGCUUGGGGACCAUCAAUAGACUUUGAGUGCCGACCACGUCCAAGGUGUUGGCUCGGGUCUUGACACCUUUAGUAAUCGGCCCUUACCCUAGUAUAUAAGAAAGACACUCUCCUCAUUGUUAAGGACAUGCUUUUGACAUUGGCUUACACCUAAAGAAAAAAAGACUUAAAAAAAUUCGUUUUUGACUAUAAAAAGGACACAAGUUCUCUCGGUUCAAAACAUUAAAGGUUCCUCUUUUAUCUGUUGUUUUUCUAUGUUUGGAUCAAUUAUCAGAUCAAUCAUGUCUUUAUUACUGACUGCUAUUUUACUACUUAAGCGGUUAGUGUCUUUCACACCUCUAUUUAGUUUUAGUAUCACUAGUUUAAUUGUUGUUAUGUAUAAGUCCGAAAUUGGACAUUGAUAAAUAAAAGGAAGCAUCCGAGUUAGUUUCCUUAUCCUUCAUUUCAAUGUGUGAUCUUAUAUGACUUGAUGAAAUUCGUUUUGUUAAAUGUGAAUAGUUUUUGUGUUUCUAUGUAACAAUCAUUAUUAUGUGAUGAUCUCAUGUGGGGUGUUAUUAUGGUUUACAGGUUUGAACUCGAAGUUAAAGUUGAAAAGUUGUCAUGAAAAGAGAUUAUUUAAUUUAUGUAUUUUUAUUUCGGUUCGUAAUAUUAGUUUAACUCUAAAACUCUCUCUAUAUAUGAUAAUAUUUGAGGAUAGUUUGGGGGGAAGGAAACUACAUGAUAAAUGUUUCUUUUACUUUUGUUAUUAAAUUUAUUUGAAUACGUCUGGUUGUUAAAUCUUUCUAUAUCGCUUAGCAAAAAGAUUUUGGUAAAUGUGUUAUAAUAACCGAUCUAAAACAAGGUGUUAGUAGCCUGUAAUUUUGCUUUACUUUUAACUUGAAAUAAAUCAACAUGUGAAAUAAGACCGAGAUGUAUGCUUUUGUGAUUAUCUAUGUGGAUAUUUGUGCCUAUAAUGUUACUUUUAGAAUUCCUAGUACUUUUAUAUAGUAACUUUAAGUUUGUUAAAUAUUUUAAAGAUAACAUGAUUCUAUUAAAUUUUGCAUGUUAAACUCUUAUUCUAAUAAUUUUUGUAGGUUAAUUGGUCUGAUGUUAAUAAUUCCUUAUAUGUGAAAAAUGUUUCAGCAUGUCUUAUCACGUAAACAUCAUGCCUCUGCGAUUGGAUUAGUAUGUCAACAAAUUGACCAUAAAUAUUCAUCAAUGUAGUUUGUCACUAGAGAAGCAUGCCUAUAGGAUUUGAAUGACUUCCAACAUGUAUGGGUUUACAUAUCAUGUACAUAUGGUUUCAAACUUUGUUAUAUAUUAUUUUUAUAGAUACCAUGUGUUAGGCUGUACUAUUUGUUCUUCAUUUAUUCUCUGUAACAAAAAAUACUAUUAAUUAUUAAUAUAUGUACCCACCGUCGUGGAAGUUUAAUCACGAGGUGUUACCACAAAAUAUUGGUUUCACUCUUUCGGUCUCUAGAUCUCUCAUUUCUUUUUCUUGAAAGUUCUUGUGUUCUUCAUUCAUCAAGUGUGUGUGUGUGGAUUCGAUCCUAACAACUGGUAUUAGAGCGAAGGAUUUUCAACACGAUCACUUAAGAUUGAUAGUUCGAAGCUUGGAAUUGAGAUGUUUGAUAGAUCCGAUUUUAGUUUCUC